UACGAAGGGGGCUAGCGUUGUUCGGAAUUACUGGGCGUAAAGGGCGCGCAGGCGGUUCCUCAAGUCAGGCGUGAAAGCCCCGGGCUCAACCUGGGAAUGGCGAUGGAUACUGGCGGGCUAGAGUGCGGUAGAGGGUGGUGGAAUUCCCGGUGUAGCAGUGAAAUGCGUAGAGAUCGGGAGGAACAUCAGUUGCGAAGGCGGCCACCUGGACCAGCACUGACACUGAGGCACGAAAGCGUGGGGAGCAAACAGG
rnacentral:rRNA from 1 species